GGAUCGCUGCUUCCCCUCCUGGAGCUGCGGGACACGCUGGGCUGCAGCGUGGAAAUCGCCCCCGAAUCUCCCAAAUCCAAGCCUAACUCCCCCUGCUCCGUGUGUCGGGAGCCGGGGCAGGAUGGUGUGGGCAGCUCCAACCUCCCCUGAGCGGCCCCGCACUCCUGCAGCCCUUCCCGCACAUAAACAAGUGUCAAAGACCUGUCUGCUCGCUGUGCCCUGCGAGAGCGCUGCCCUGCACCGAGCAUCCCCCUCCUCCUUCACUUUCCCUGCCAUCCCUCUGGCAGCAGGUUUUGUCUUUUUUUAAAAAACCCAGGUGCCAAACCUGUGUGAAAUUACUGAUAUUCACUGAAAUCUGGCUGAGAAGCACUCAGUGCUCCCCUUCUGUACGGGAGGUCACGGUCAGUUUUGUGGCACCAUCACCCCCCAGCCGCUGCCUCACCUGCAGGUGGCUGGGGCUGCUCACCGACACAGAAGGGCUGUUAAAGGCGUGUUGAGCUUCAUUUACUCAAGGGUAGAAUUAAUUUGUUUGAACUAUUUAUUUCAGAUAAAAUAAUCCCUUUAAAGGCUGCUGCUACUCUGUCAUUUUAGGCAUGUCCAUGUCCACCUGCCUUCACUUUGCUUUGGUCUGUGUGGAACUGCAGAAUGUGACAAAAUGGCAUUUGCAAAAAGAACAAGUAAACACAGGCUUAAUGAACUCACUUAUUUUGCUUCCUGUACUUAUGACUCAUAAAAUGAAAAUCCUUUAAUGUUGUAACCCAAAUAAAUUGCCAUGUUGGUUGCCUCUCGACUGUACUGCAAGUAGGGAACAAGAAGGGCUGAGAGUGAGGGAUCAGGAAAAGGUAAGGAUGUGCUCAGCUCUGAUUAAGUAACAUUAUCCUGCUUCUUUUGCUUUUGAAGGGUGGAAAAGCAAGAGGUGAUGUCUAAUGCUCCCGGGCAGCAAACAAUGGGUGGGGAACGCUGAGCUGGGUGCAGCACUUGGCAGUCUUUGGGGUGCAGUGAUGAGGUGCCAGUGCUUGAUGGUAUGGAUAGAAGGGGACACGCCUCAGCCUUGUGACACGUGGGGUUAAUGGGGCAGAGCCACACCAUGUCCCUCUGAGGGGACCUGGGUGGCACUGCCACAGCAGUGUCACAUCCCAGCUCUGGGCAGGAGAGGUUCCCUUCCUGGGCCAUCCAAUCCCUCAGCUGUUACAGCUCCUCAUAACCCACAUUUUGUGAACAACCACAACUCCCACAGUGAUGUCCAUUUCAGCCCAUUCCACACAGAAGCGGAAAAAUUUCUUCCUGAGAAGGAAUUAAUGCAAGAGAAGUGGAGAUCAGUAAAUGACUACAAUAAAAAUACCCUUCAGCUUUCCUUUUUAUUCUUCCAUAUUUUUCCAGCAGCUGCUUAAAAACUGGUAUUCAGCAAUAAAAUGACCUGAUAACAUUUAGGUCUUUGAGACAUAGAUAUUUUAUUUACUGAAAAAGUGUUACUAAACCACUUUACAAAAACAUUCACCAGGCUUUGCAGCACUUCCAGGAAAAUACAUACAAUUCCUCUUCUCUUUAUGCAAUCAUUGUUUGCUCCUGUUCAAGCUGACAGAUGGUAUGAAAGUUUUGCACUUGACAUCCAUAAUUGUCUUUCCCACAGGCGUGUGCUCAUCGAUGAUGUGCUCAUUGCAUCACCUCCUGACUUGGAACAUUUUUUUAAAAAGCUGUUUCACAUAUGAAAUCCUGGGAAAGACCUGUCUAAAGCACUGUGUCCAAGGAUGAAAAAUAAAUGAAAGCUCCAGUGGUGCCGUUACCCAGCAGAGCUGAUGGAUUGCACUCUCCUGUGGCUGCUUUCAGCUGCUGUGUCUCGUGAACCAUGCUGCUAAUUUCACAUCUCAGUUACUGCAAAAAUGCUAAAUAAAGGUUUUGUUGUUGUUGUUUUUUCCAUUUUAUCCCUAAAAAUGUGUGAUUAUUCACAUGGCAAAAAUGAUAAAUCUAAAGAUUUGAAAAAGUGAAGAAGUGAUGGCUUCAAGUCAGCAUCAUGCACACACAACUUUCAUUUAAGUCUUGCUUAGCUGAGGAAGUACUUCCAGCAGAAAUAUUAAUUUAAGAUUUUCCUAACUUUCAUGACCAGCCUCAUCCUGAAGUUGAUUUACUUUUGCUGAGUAAUACAGGAUUUGUCUUUAAUUCUUGAAAUAAUAGGAAACAGAAAGAAGGCUUACUUAAAAAAAACUACACCUAAAAUGAAUUUUUUGUGUGGUUCAGAUAUUUCUAUUAAAUUGGUUGUGCUAUGUUCCCUUCCAGGAAUUUUACAUCAACAAAAUAUGGCACCAAAAUCACUAAGCAGGGUAAAAAUCCAGAAAGAUUCCUUUGGAAAAGGUGUAUUUAAUGCAGCUGUAACACAGGGUGGAGAUGAAUAAAACACUACACAACUAUUAAAAUAAAUAUAUGCUAAAAUACCAUACCUGUUUUUAUGAAACUCUGAAUCAAAAUCAAUCAUUAAGGCCAACUGGAAAAAAACAAAGUUAAAUAGAAUUCAUUGAUUGUUAAGUCAACAAAAAUCUGAAGAAAGAUACAGAUAAAACAUUUGAAGAUCUUUAUUUUGUUUUUCUGUCCUUUUAAUCUUGCAUUUCUUUAUUUCAACAAAAAAAAAAAAAGGCAAAAAUUCUUGGGAAAGAACCUGUUUUUAAAAAGUUUCUAUUUAGAAGAGCUUGAGAAGUUGUUUAUUGCAUGACGACUCAUUCCCACAAUCUGUGAGUGCACUGCCACGUGCAAACCUCUUGUCUUCUCAAAAUCUGCUAAAGUUCUACAAAUCCUAAUUUCUAAACCAGGAAUAGAAGCAUCAGUGAAGAACAGCUCUGCAAAUUCUUCUACUUCCACUAGAGGAUGUUUCACUGGUCACCUUCAAAGGGCUCCCACAGCUCAGAGUGGCACAGAGGAUGAUGGUAAGUGGGUACUUACCUACCAAAAAAAAAAAAAUUGGUGAAGAUGCGCAUCCUGAAAUUACAGCCCUCCAGAAAGAGGUCAUAGUUGACUAUUCCCACAAAAUAAUUCAAGAAUGUCCUAAAAUUUGUAGAAAACAGAAGCAAACAUAGUGUUUAGUUUAACUGACAGCUGAGCAUUAGCUUGGCCAGGCUUUCCAGAACACACUACAAUCUCCUGGAAAGGCUGGAAAUGCACCAAGUUCAGGGCACAAUGGAAUAUCCACAGGUGAUUGUCAAAGUGUAACUGCAAUUCAAACACUGGGAAGGUCACGUGUGGCAAAGGAUCCUUCAGGGCUGGAAACUGAGACACACAAACAGAGGACAAGGAGUAACUGGGCAGUACUUACUCGGUGCUGGGCUGAGGGGUCCGGGGCUCCCUGCCCGUGGCCACGAGGCACUGCCAGCUCCUGGGGGUUCCACGGAGCAGCCCAGGACUUGACCCUGGAAAGGACAA